rnacentral:misc_RNA from 1 species
GGGCUCCCUGCCACUGUGCAGCCAACCGCCGUCGCUGCAGCCCCUUCACUCGGUGCUCCAACCUCUCGGAGCCUCACGCGUUGCCUGUACAACAUACCCGGUUCUCGGGCAAAUGACUUCGUCCAACACGCUCGUCCGCUCCCCUCGCCUUUGUGCGGGCGCGGAGCGGCAACAUCGGCGGUCCUCGUGCUCCCUCGGACGACGGCACGGCUUUGGCCCCUCGUCUCGUCCCGAUCGGCCCUCGGGGAUUCGCCAGCGCUCGCGGACACGGUAGACAAUGUUGGCUCGGGGCUUUCGUAGCCCCCGCACCACGAUCGGUCGGCUCACUUCGCCGCCCUCAACGAGACGACCGUCGGGCCCGUCGUCCCCCCACCACUCGCCUAACGGCGUCGGGCGGGCACAGCGGGCGCGACGUCGCGGAGGACGUGCU